AGCUUUGCGCAGUGAUAGUAUUGUAGCCAAUGAGGCUUAUCCAAGGCACGAUUAUUGCUAAUUGAUAAUCAUGCAGAAACAUUCCAAGGUUGCCUCUUUUACCGUAUUUAAAGCUAGAUGAGAUGUGACAUUUGAGAAUG
ensembl:snRNA U4 U4 spliceosomal RNA